CACGGCUUUAGCAAAUUCAGCAGCCGCUCACACAUUUGAGAGAGAAUUAAAACACGGCUUCACACAUUUGAGGGAGAGAGAGAGAGAAUUGAUGGUUUGAGAUGGAGAAAAAAAGGAAUUCACGGUCACAUAUUUGAGAGAGGAUUGACGGUUUUUCGAGAGAGAAAAUAAUGAAUUCACGGCUUCAUGUCUUCUUCUUCAAACCAAAAUAGGAGAUUAUCCCUUAUUGGAGGCCCGAGACGAUCAAUCGUCCUAAGACAGCAAUUAGUACGUACUACAAGACCAAGUACCUGAACAAAAUAGUGGUGAAACUAAAUGACAUUGGGGUGAUGCACUGGAGAACUCAUUCCGACAUGGGUGCUUUGGUCACUUGUUGGAUUGGGCGCCAGGCCCCAAGUGCAAUACGGCAUUGCACCAUGUUGUCUCUCGUCAGAUUAAGAUAACAGGCGACGGCAGCAAGGAUGAAACCAUCUGGUUCUACAUCAAUGGGAGGAGGGUUUGCUUUUCACCGGGAGAUUUCGCCCUCGUCACAGGAUUGUCGUUCGGGGCGUUGCAUUUUGAUCCUGAAGCAAAGCACGAUUUGAAUAUAUAGGGCACAGACCUUUCAGAUUAUUUUGCAAGGGGCAACAUAUGUCAAUCGGGGCGUUGCUUGAUAAAUUUAUGGCCCAGCAGGUGAACGACCCCGACGGCAGGAUACACCUUCGUGUGGCCCACUUGUUGGUGCUACACACAUUUAUUUUGGAAGUGGACUUGUCACGACCCGUGGAGCCUUGGACUUGGGCUUUAGUGGAUGACUUGCAGGCGUUUUACACAUUUCCUUGGGGAGGGUACACGUAUAAAGCCCUGAAUUACUGGAUGAAAAAUAUUACCCCAGAAAUUCCUGAGAAAAUAAGGAAGUACAACUUCUACCGUUCUUCUUGGACCCUAUUUGUUUAGGCUCUUGAAGUGAUCCCCGACUUGGCCACAGCCGUGGCCAUAUGUAAUGCAGGGAGAUAUCUUAGAUGCUAGAAGUGGACGUUCUUGAAGUCCAGCAGAUUUGAGUUACAACCCUUAUUUGAGAGAGAUGGUGGAGAGUUGUACGAGAUGAGGCCCGAUGAGCACGAGGCCACUUUAUUGGCUAUCGGUGGUAGGCGGCGGUGAUAUAGGCGUUCGAUUUUCAGGUCCAGAGGCAUUCGGCCCCAGGAACUCUCGGGGGUGUCACAGUGGUGGGGACCAGAGCGAGGCUUCUGUUCAGCCUAAGACACGACGUCGCAGUUCGAGGCAAGAUACUGGAAAGGGCCCGAGACCACAGGUGGUGGAGUCCUCAUCGAGCAGUAGUCAUCAAGAUCAGAGUGGCGGCGACAAUCAUCCCGUGACUUUCGCUCGGAGGUCUCAUAGGGACUCGAGGCCCAAGCACGGCGAGAGAGUAGCACUGCUGCACAUUCACAGUGGAGCGAGCAGGACUGGGGGCGCAUGCAGACCAUGAUACGUGCGAGUGAGGAGAGCAUAUUCUCGAGGGUGAAGAAUUGGUUGGAGGAAAAGAUAGAUUCUAUGCUUUGUCGGUGUUCGCAUAGCACUGACGUUCAUGUGCCAAGACCUUCUCCACGAUCUCACUUAGAGAGGAUACGUGAGCCCGAUCCAGCGACGCGUGCAUCAUCGGAGGCCCCAUUGCGUCAUGGCUCCCCUGCACAUGACUCCACUGCAUAGGACUUGGGACAUCCUACCGGUGACGAUGUGCACACCCCACAUGGGCAGUAUGAUGCUUUUGGUGGCCCGACUCAUUUUGGGGAUGUCCAUACUCCAUACAUGGGCGGCCAACAAUGGAAGUUGGCGCCAUUGGGUGAGUCGAGUUCUUAUGGAGGUCCAUGCUACUCGUAUCAUGAGCAGGGCACCAACUCAGCAUACCCGGCUGAGCAGGCUCGUCAUUCGGUGUCGCCGUGUCGGAUCUGAGAGAUGCCGAAUAUUCAUCGACAGACAUCCUGCAGUAUUGUCAAAACUUGGUGCCGGGAGUUUCUGAGGGACUAGCUAUCGUUCCCCUCAGUAUCUGUCCACCGGAGGUUCCACCACCGUGUAGAAGCCACCGUGAACGGCAGCCUUCGGCUGUACUUCGUUCACCAUACGUACACAGUGCCGAGCCCAAACCCGUCGACCAGCAGUAUGUUGACGCAAUUGAGCGUAUGCUGAAUGCAGGCCGCCGGCGCUACAAGACGGUGAUGGUGGCAUAGAGUCAGCACAAACUCCCGUUUGAGUUUUGGUCCGAGAUGCAAAACCUAAGGGUUGACCUCACGACCGAGGUUCUUGAUAUGUACAUGAUGACGUUGAGGCAUAGGUUGAUGGCGCGUGCUGACUUGUUAGAUGAGGUUGAUGAUAGGACCACUGUCAUAUUGGAUACGAAAUUAUUCGUAAGCAUUAAAAUAUUUCGCGCUUAUAAUCAAAUAUUCCAUUAAUAUAUUUUUUUUUUCACAACAGACAUAUUUGCAAAAAGAAUUUAAGAUCCUCAUGGAUGCUGCUUAUGCAAUGUUCCACUCGAAGAAAGAAUCAAGGAUUUUGCAUAGAGACAUGCCUUAUCGUAACUGGAUCCUGCAUCCCAACCGCUUGUAUGAAGUGUAUGACAAGGACACCUCAUCGACUCAGAAUGAUUGGAUGAAUGCCACACAUGUCAUUAUGCCUAUAUUUAUAGGCGACCAUUUCAUUACCUGUAGAGUGGAUAUGCUCACGGGUAACUGUGACGUCUUCGACUCUCAGUGGUUCAAGACAUUGCUGCAACCGCGCCAAACCCAGCUGAUCGAGCUGAAGUCGCUGCAGUGCCUUGUUAGUAGGCUGCUUGAAGUGGCUUUUUGGUUUCAGAGGAUGACCAUUGUGCAGAAUCCAAUAGAGAAUCUCAGCUGGAAUAAAUUGAACAUCCGCUACGCCGAGAUGGGUGAGGUGUUUCACCAGUCAGACCAGUGCAGCUCUGGUGUCUAUGCAUACAUGUUUGUAGAGCGUUUGAUUUCAGGGUCGUCGAGCAUUACGUGGGGCUAUCAUCACACCCCUAACUAGAGGCGCAAGAUAGGCAGUAGCAUCUACGAGUUUUGCGUACCA